rnacentral:rRNA from 1 species
UACGAAGGGGACUAGCGUUGUUCGGAAUCACUGGGCGUAAAGCGCACGUAGGCGGAUUCGUAAGUUAGGGGUGAAAUCCCGGGGCUCAACCUCGGAACUGCCUUUGAUACUGCGGGUCUCGAGUCCGAUAGAGGUGGGUGGAAUUCCUAGUGUAGAGGUGAAAUUCGUAGAUAUUAGGAAGAACACCGGUGGCGAAGGCGGCUAACUGGUCCAGCACUGACGCUGAGGUGCGAAAGCGUGGGGAGCAAACAGG